rnacentral:rRNA from 1 species
GGGUUGUGAGGUUAAGCGACUAAGCGUACACGGUGGAUGCCCUGGCAGUCAGAGGCGAUGAAGGGCGUGCUAAUCUGCGAUAAGCGCCGGUAAGGUGAUAUGAACCGUUAUAACCGGCGAUACCCGAAUGGGGAAACCCAGUGUGACUCGUCACACUAUCAUUAACUGAAUCCAUAGGUUAAUGAGGCGAACCGGGGGAACUGAAACAUCUAAGUACCCCGAGGAAAAGAAAUCAACCGAGAUUCCCCCAGUAGCGGCGAGCGAACGGGGAGGAGCCCAGAGCCUGAAUCAGCAUGUGUGUUAGUGGAAGCGUCUGGAAAGGCGCGCGAUACAGGGUGACAGCCCCGUACACAAAAGCGCAUGUGUUGUGAGCUCGAUGAGUAGGGCGGGACACGUGGUAUCCUGUCUGAAUAUGGGGGGACCAUCCUCCAAGGCUAAAUACUCCUGACUGACCGAUAGUGAACCAGUACCGUGAGGGAAAGGCGAAAAGAACCCCGGCGAGGGGAGUGAAAAAGAACCUGAAACCGUGUACGUACAAGCAGUGGGAGCACCCUUUGGGGUGUGACUGCGUACCUUUUGUAUAAUGGGUCAGCGACUUAUAUUCUGUAGCAAGGUUAACCGGAUAGGGGAGCCGGAGGGAAACCGAGUCUUAAUUGGGCGUUAAGUUGCAGGGUAUAGACCCGAAACCCGGUGAUCUAGCCAUGGGCAGGUUGAAGGUUGGGUAACACUAACUGGAGGACCGAACCGACUAAUGUUGAAAAAUUAGCGGAUGACCUGUGGCUGGGGGUGAAAGGCCAAUCAAACCGGGAGAUAGCUGGUUCUCCCCGAAAGCUAUUUAGGUAGCGCCUCGUGAAUUCAUCUCCGGGGGUAGAGCACUGUUUCGGCUAGGGGGCCAUCCCGGCUUACCAACCCGAUGCAAACUGCGAAUACCGGAGAAUGUUAUCAUGGGAGACACACGGCGGGUGCUAACGUCCGUCGUGAAGAGGGAAACAACCCAGACCGCCAGCUAAGGUCCCAAAGUCAUGGUUAAGUGGGAAACGAUGUGGGAAGGCCCAGACAGCCAGGAUGUUGGCUUAGAAGCAGCCAUCAUUUAAAGAAAGCGUAAUAGCUCACUGGUCGAGUCGGCCUGCGCGGAAGAUGUAACGGGGCUAAACCAUGCACCGAAGCUGCGGCAGCGACGCUGAUGCGUUGUUGGGUAGGGGAGCGUUCUGUAAGCCUGCGAAGGUGGCCUGUGAGGGUUGCUGGAGGUAUCAGAAGUGCGAAUGCUGACAUAAGUAACGAUAAAGCGGGUGAAAAGCCCGCUCGCCGGAAGACCAAGGGUUCCUGUCCAACGUUAAUCGGGGCAGGGUGAGUCGACCCCUAAGGCGAGGCCGAAAGGCGUAGUCGAUGGGAAACGGGUUAAUAUUCCCGUACUUGGUGUUACUGCGAAGGGGGGACGGAGAAGGCUAUGUUGGCCGGGCGACGGUUGUCCCGGUUUAAGCGUGUAGGUGUGUGUUCCAGGUAAAUCCGGUUCACUUUAACACUGAGGCGUGA